UACGUAGGGGGCAAGCGUUGUCCGGAUUUAUUGGGCGUAAAGAGCUCGUAGGCGGUUUGUUGCGUCGGCUGUGAAAUCCCGAGGCUCAACCUCGGGUCUGCAGUCGAUACGAGCAAACUAGAGUGUUGCAGGGGAGACUGGAAUUCCUGGUGUAGCGGUGAAAUGCGCAGAUAUCAGGAGGGAACACCGGGUGGGCGAAGGCGGGGUCUCUGGGCAACAACUGACGCUGGAGGAGCGAAAA
rnacentral:rRNA from 1 species